rnacentral:lncRNA from 1 species
CAAAAUCACAGGCUUCCAACAUUUGCCUACUUUGCCUAGGUGAUAAGAUAGCUCUAUGUUCUGCAUGUGUGUGUGUCUUCAUGAUUUAUGAAGAUUAUUUACUAUAUUCUCAAUAUAUCGAAUGUUUGAUAGAAAUUCAAUAUUAAUGCUUAGAAAUUAAAUUUGAAGGAGGCUGAAAAAAGCCAAAAAUGUUUUUAUAAAGUGUGUAUAAAACACUGAUGUCCUGUUAGAAGGCUUAAAGAAAUUUUGUUUUAAAUUAUCUUGUGCUGUAACAUUCAGUAAUGAAAAUCACUAAUCAUGGUAGUAAUACUGGAAUCCAAAACAUGUGAACUAAGGUUAUAAGGAUUCAGUUAACUUAUAAAAGUAACUUAUUUUUAAAAUAUCAUUUAGUUAACUCUUCAGGUCACAUCAUUACUAACAAUGUAUAUGCUACAGAAAGGGAGAAAUCAAAAUGGCAGAUCAGGAACAGAAGUAGAACCCUCCCUGGCCACUAUAGAUGCAAUGAAACAAUGUAAAUUUAUCAAUUUUAAGUUUUAUAAAUCAUUUUUUAUAUUCAGAUUGUGUCUGAAGCACCUGUAUAUUGACUGUAUAUUGAGUCUUUUCCUAUCCUCAUCUAGUUGUUAUUACUGAAUAUUUGUCGUCAUGUGCUAUUUUCUUCAUUGCUACCAUUUAUUAUUUUUGCUUGCAUGUUGCAAUUUUGUAUUAAAUGUCUUUAUUAACAUUUGUUCAUCAGUUUGAAGAUUACUGUUUUAUGAGGGUUGUCUGAAAAUUUUUGAGUGUGCUAUCAACAAAAAUUUUUAUUCUAGAGAUCAAAUACAUUAUGGAGAGUAAGACACAGUCUUACACUGUACAUUUCAACAUAUUCCCCACUGAUAUUGCUAAACUUAUCAUUUUGCUUAAUAAGGUUGAAAAAGCCUCUCUCGUAAAUAUGUCUGUACACAUGGAGAAUGUUAAAAUGGCUCAUUUCAUGUUUUCAUUACUGGUGAAAUGUUCGAGACAGUAUCAUUUUGAAAUUUAGGUUUUUAGGGGAUGAUCAAAGCAUUUCCCAUCUGACUUAGGCAAUAUGGUUUGCCAUAUGGAGUCUCAGGUUUUCAUCAGAGUGAAGUGCCAUAUGCCUGUUUAUAUUGUACUAGUCUGUAGACUUUAUUCUUCAUCCAUGUCUGCAACACACAUCUAAUCACUUAUACCCCAGGAGUGCUGACAGCAGGUAUGCUCUGCACAGCACUUGAUCAUUUACUACUACUAGCAUGUGUAAUAUGCAUGGCUUAAGACACAUGUAGUUUUUCCUAGAGAAAGGAUGCCUAAAUCAAUACAUGGUAUAUUUUAUCCCAUAUAUCUUUGGCUCUAAAAAUACAUGUGCAAAUUUAUUUUUUGGACUAUUCCUCACACUUAAGUUCUGGAAUACAGACUGGAAAAAUCAAAGAAACAAUGAUAAUCAAGUUGCUGAGUCCUGUAUUGAACAUCAAGAUGAAAGCAAGUCAAGCUUGGGCAUUUGUUACAAUCAUUCCAUCUAUAUGCUAGAUUUAGAAAUUUAGAAUUCAUUGCCUAGGUAACAAAAAACUUGAUUUGGAUAUACAUUUUUGAAGUGCUGAACUCUCAGGAGAAUGGUUCAAAUUCAAUGAUCUCAUUUAAAUUUAAAAACAAAGCAAGCUUGAAGAAUCUGAUUUUAACUUGAGCCUGUAGAUCAGACUAUGAUGAUUUCAAAAUUG